CCCUCCUCCCCUUCCACCCUCGAGCUACAACCACCCCCCUCCAGCCCUGCUUGUCCACGCCUUCCCUCAGGGUCCCUCCCUCUCCGCUUCCCCACGCCCCACUCCAGUCCCCUCCCCACCCAGUGGGGGCCGGCCUUAGGGGGGCGGGCUCCCAUCCGGCCUUCGCUGACCCUACCCGGCCCGGCCGCGCCCCUCCCCACCGGGAGAAGGUAUUUCUUGCCAUAAUUAAAGUCAUUAAGCCUCCAAAGCCUCCCGUCUGCUGCAGGUUCUGAGCUCCAGAAGGAAGAUGAUGCAUUUUAAGUCCUAGUUAAGAGUAUGCUGAUCUAUUUAGGAGGCAUGUAGCAGCGAGAAAUCAGCGGUUAAGUUAGUGGUUAAGGCUGCCUAAGUUUAAAUAGUGUUAUUUAUUCUCAAAAUAUGUAGCAGCCCCACUUAAUUUCUCCUAAUUAAAGGAACCGACAGAAGAGGCUGGAGUCCGUGGCCGUGUCACGGCGCCAUUGCACAGGAGGAAGAGAAUCUGGAUGAAAGUUUCUUGCAUGUCUGAGGCAGGCUUGCUCCUAACAUUUGUGGGACUUGGGACAAGAGCCUAUGAACCAUGAUAUAAAUUAUAUGCUACCCUUCUAUCUUUAUGUAUGCCUCCAUAAAGACCUGAAGGGUCACGUUCAACUGCGA